rnacentral:lncRNA from 1 species
ACAAAUAUAAGGUCAUCAUUUGUACUGACGUGACUGAUACAUUUGUGAAAAGUGACUAAAUAUUUAAUAAAAAAUUUAAAACAUUAAAAUAAUUAAUUAAAAAGAAAAAGAAAAAAGAACUCAAAUCUUCAUCUUCUUCUUCUCCACAUGAGCUACCCCUUCUCCCACCACCACCACCACCCCUUUCCCCACCCGAGCCACCCUUCUACCAUAACCACCCCCAUCCCCCAUCACUUCUGCACCAACAAAGCUUCUUCCUCCAUAACCACCACCAUCAAUUUCCUCAUCUGCAAAGCCUGAAGCAACCCAGAAAACCCCAAGGCCUCACUAUGAAUUUUGCCCCACCUUCCUCACCACCUCAAAACCUUGCCUUGAUUUCUUCUUCCAAGUCGUGUCCUCACCUGCUACCCAUUUCUUCCCCCCAUCUGCAACCUAAACAACAACCAGUAGCAUGAUCAAACAACAACCCCUCCCCCAUAAAAAAAAAAAAAGUACCCAUAUUUGUUUUCAACACAAGAAUCAACCAAAAAUAUAUAUAAGAUCUGAAACAAAUUACCCAUAAAAAAAAAGGUGGAACCUAUUUCCCCUCCCUUACAAACACCAUUGCUGCCCUCCCACUUGAUCCUAACAACCUCAUCCAUUUCUUUCUCUUCCUCAUUCUUUCACUCUAACCUCAAAUUGGCAUCGAUCGAAACUGCAAGACGCAUCCAGCAACGAAAUCGAAGGGGAGUUUGGGGAUUUUGGUAUUCGACUGGUCGCUUAUAACGAAAUUGAAGGGCAGCGAAAUCUGGGUUUUGGGGGUUUCGGCUUUAGGUUUAAUGCGGCUUCGUCGAGCUCACCUUCGAUGACUUCUGAACGACCUCUGCCUUCCAUCAGAGGCUUAGAUCUCAGUGUGGCUUCGUUGAAUUUGAGGUUGAGCUUCUACUGGGACUUCUGGUCCUUGAGUGGACCAAGUGGAGAUGGAAGAACAUGACGAGAUGAAUUUUUGGGUGUUUGAAACAUUUUUCUAUUUUUUAAUUAUUCAAUUAUCUUUUCAAAUUUUUAGUUGAAUUUCUAAUUAAUUUUUUAAUCCACAUGUCCGACUUGCUUCAGCCACGUAGGCAUAAGGACUAACAGGAAAAAAGACGGUUGUAUGAAAUUGAAAAAAAAAAAGUAAAUGUAUGAGAUUGAAAUGUUUUAAAGAUGUUGUAUGAGG